ACAGGUGGACGCGCGAGUCAACAGGUGUCGAGUUGGCAGACAUCGUGGACUUACAUCAAAUGCGGAUAAAAUCGAUGGUACUCUCCGGUACUUCGAAGCUGGUGGAAAACACGGGCGGUGCCGAUCCUGCGGCAACCGACUUCCUCGCACGAAGACUCGCAAAUCGAAUCUAAUACAGAGCUAUACCGUCGUCGAUAAGAUUACUCGGCACUGGUGUGCGGCAAUGUGAGUCAAAGAGAUCACAGGUACAAGUCGGCUCGCGUGGUUCUCGAUAAUGCUUGGGAGGACACGGUGGUAGUUGUUCCUGUGUUUUGCAACAGCAAGGAGCAUAAGGAUCCUAAAUCGUAAUUACAUAGAGAAUUAUAUAAAAAAAUUAAAAGGCGUGUGAACGUACAGCCCCCGUUAGCCAUUGAAAAACCAAACUACUACUAAGCGCGCAGAAAAUAUAAAAUCCAUGCGACGGAUCUUUUUUCAAGAUUUAAUUAAAUACAUAGAUAUUUCAAAGAUUUCGACAGAUCUUUGUGUCUGCCACACAAAUGACGAAUCUUAGUCAUAGAGCGGCG